GAUGAACGCUAGCGGAAGGCUUAAUACAUGCAAGUCGAGCGGUAGGUGGCUUCGGCCAUUGAGAGCGGCGCACGGGUGAGUAACGCGUACAUGACCUGCCUGUCAGAAGGGGAUAGCCCUGGGAAACUGGGAUUAAUACCCUAUGGUAUUGAUAUUAUGAAUGAUAUCAAUUAAAGUUGAGGCGCUGACAGAUGGAUGUGCGUCUGAUUAGCUAGUUGGUAGGGUAACGGCCUACCAAGGCGACGAUCAGUAGGGGGCGUGAGAGCGUGGUCCCCCACACGGGUACUGAGACACGGACCCGACUCCUACGGGAGGCAGCAGUAAGGAAUAUUGGUCAAUGCCCGCAAGGGUGAACCAGCCAUUCCGCGUGGAGGAUGAAGGCCCUAUGGGUUGUAAACUUCUUUUAGAUGGGAAGAAAUGCUAGAUGUAUCUGGUACUGACGGUACCAUCAGAAUAAGCACCGGCUAACUCCGUGCCAGCAGC
rnacentral:rRNA from 1 species